GCUCCAAUAGCGUAUACUAAAGUUGCUGCAGUUAAAAAGCUCGUAGUUGAAGAUGUAGGGGCUUCCUUGAGCGGGUUCGCGGGAACUGUGGAUGCUGCCGGGGGGAGUUUCUGUGUGAUGUCUGAAGGUCGCCUCUACUCUUUGUUGAGGGGAGGAUUCUUCGUGCCUGUGGUACGGAGGCGUGUAAGAGCGGAACUUCA
rnacentral:rRNA from 1 species